rnacentral:rRNA from 1 species
GUGAGGAAUAUUGGUCAAUGGACGGAAGUCUGAACCAGCCAUGCCGCGUGAAGGAUGAAGGCGUUCUGCGUUGUAAACUUCUUUUAUCAGAGAAGAAACCACUGAUUUCUAUUAGUGUUGACGGUAUCUGAUGAAUAAGCACCGGCUAACUCCGUGCCAGCAGCCGCGGUAAUACGGAGGGUGCAAGCGUUAUCCGGAUUUACUGGGUUUAAAGGGUGUGUAGGCGGGCUAUUAAGUCAGGGGUGAAAUCCCGGGGCUCAACCUCGGAACUGCCUUUGAUACUAUUAGUCUUGAAUUAUGUUGAGGUUGGCGGAAUAUAACAUGUAGCGGUGAAAUGCAUAGAUAUGUUAUAGAACACCGAUUGCGAAGGCAGCUGGCUAAACAUAUAUUGACGCUGAGGCACGAAAGCGUGGGUAGCGAACAGGAUUAGAUACCCGAGUAGUCC